GUGGGAGUGGCCAGGGCGGGCCACAUUUGGGCUAAAGGCCAGGUGAGGGGGCUGGGCGUCCCAGAGGAAUUGGUCUGGGGCAGGUUGGGACUGAGUCGCUGGCAGAGAGAGGGGACCACAGGAGUGUGGGUCCUUCACUCCUAGGAAAGCGCAGGAGGUGAGAGUGGACUUCCUUCUAGGGGUUCAAACACCAAGGGUGGCCUGUGGAGAGAACACAGGAUGGCAGAGCCUUGGAAAGCUAAAAAGGUUUCGAAAGACAAGGGCAGAAACCUCAGUGAUAGCAGUCAGCAGUGCCUGGAUUUCCUGUGGCUUACAUUUACCUUUUGAACACAGGUGAAACCUUUCUCUUACUACUCCAUUCUCAAGGAGCCAGGACGUCUCCAGCUGAUGUAAUCUUGGCCUGGACUGUCACAGCAUCACCGGAGGUCUCAGCUGUGACCAGAGGCAAAAAUGGAGUUAUGCCUGGACAUGCCAUAGCCCCCCUGCAGGCAGGAAAACAAGGCCUAAACAUAAUUUAAUCUUGCAAUGCUUUUCCCCCAAAGUUAUGUAGACUUGCUCUUGACAUCAACCCAUGUAUAAUUUACUGUGGCAUGCGAGGCUAGAAUCUAACCUUUCUUGAGGCAGUUACCCUGGCCUGACAUUGUUUAUGAAUAACUCAUCCAUUUCACACUUAUUCAGAAUGAAAAUCCUUAUCAUAUAUUACAUUUUCAUUUUUCUCUUUUUUCUCCUGUAUCUCUUAAGAAAGAGGAUCAAGGGAUGGGUGGAGGGCAUAGAGAGGGAAGGGAAAGCAGAUGAAAAAGAAAUUAUGAUCUCUUAUGUACAUGUACCAACCUCCCACAAGGAAUGUAAGCAUUAUGUUCUACACAUAUGUACUAAUACACUAAAAUUUAAAAAUUAUCAUUCAAGAUUAAUAAAAAAUUUUAGUCAUUUGGG
rnacentral:lncRNA from 1 species